GGCCCGGCUCCCGAAUAGUCCCCGGAUGGGAGCGCGUUCCUGUCCAGGCGGCAGGAUAGGGGCCGGGUCGCCU
rnacentral:ncRNA from 1 species